GAUGAAGAACGUAGCGAAAUGCGAUAAGUAAUGUGAAUUGCAGAAUUCAGUGAAUCAUCGAAUCUUUGAACGCACCUUGCACCCUUUGGCAUUCCGAAGGGUAUGCUCGUUUGAGUGUCAUUGUACUCUCACACUUCCAAUCUUUGGAUUGGGAGCGGUGGACUUGGGUGUUGCUGCUUACUGUGGCUCACCUCAAAUCGAUUCGUGCACCUCUUGGUUGGACAUAGUACGGCGUGAUAAGUGUCUUCGCCGGCACCUCAGUAGAGGGUGGCUGAUCAGGAGCUCUGUGCUUCAAACCGUCCUCGGACAACAACUGACAACUUGACCUCAAAUCGAGUAGGACUACCCGCUGAACUUAAGCAUAUCAUAAGCGGAGGA
rnacentral:misc_RNA from 1 species